AUACUACCUGGCAGGGGAGAUACCAUGAUCACGAAAGUGGUUUUCCCAGGGCGAGUUUUCUGCAUUGCCCUCUGGAUGUGCUGACCCCUGCAAUUUGCCCAAAUGUGGGAAACUCGACUGCAUAAUUUGUGGUAGUGGGGAAGUACAUUCACGCUUUCCCCUG
rnacentral:snRNA from 1 species